CGCCAGCAGAAAGAAAGAUCCAACGUAAAUAUUACCAUAAAGAGUUGAACUAAGCAGAGGAAAUACAUUGAUUGCAAUCCCAAAAAAUAAUAUCAAUAAAAGCAAGAGAAAUGUAUAUGUAACAUUGAAUAUUUCAGUUCAAUAUCAAUUCAUCAACACUCAUGCUCUCCAUUUCACAGACUCAGCCUCUCCCUUUAACAUGCAAAUAAUCCUAAUUGCAUAAUAUUGAUUCCAACUCUUCGGGAGUACUGUAUAAAAGCCUCAUAAUUUCUUGCAUCUGUUCAAACGUAAAAGAUUACAACUCACCGAUCCAUCCAUGGAUACCAUUGCAGGAAAAGUAUGCAGUCCUCACUCUGAAACAGAAUGGGUUUAAAAAAAAAAAAAAGUUACUUGAAAACUCCUACUGGGAAAAAAUUGACAAAAAUUACUGCAGAACAAUAGCUACCAGAAACAUCUCAAGACACUGAUGAGAAAAUUAAACAAAUAGUUUUCCUCGUGGAGCAAUUCUUGACGAACCAAUCGCUCUAAGUUCAAGUUUCUUGGAAGAAGAUUACUGUAAUACAGUAAGGUUGUGACAGAGGCAGCUGGCUGCGACAUUAGUGCCAUCAGCAGCCUCACUAGUGACCUCAACAUCAAUGCCAUGACUUCAAGAAUGAGAAAGAUGAUCAGAUGAAUGAAGAGAAAUCACUGAGGUCAUGUUGAAGAUGGGAGAUUUUCUUUCUUUUUUCUUUUCCCCUGAUAGGGAGAGAGGAAGGGAAUUGACUUACCAGUAUGGUGCUCCACCAGGUUCAAAUUUCUUUACCUGCCAAUCCUCGUUAGCUCAGCUGAUGUUCA
rnacentral:misc_RNA from 1 species